rnacentral:rRNA from 1 species
CAGUCGCCGCGGUAAGACAGAGGAUGCAAGCGUUAUCCGGAAUGAUUGGGCGUAAAGCGCGCGUAGGUGGUUUGUUAAGUUGGAUGUGAAAGCCCCGGGCUCAACCUGGGAACUGCAUCCAAAACUGGCAAGCUAGAGUACGGUAGAGGGUGGUGGAAUUUCCUGUGUAGCGGUGAAAUGCGUAGAUAUAGGAAGGAACACCAGUGGCGAAGGCGACCACCUGGACUGAUACUGACACUGAGGUGCGAAAGCGUGGGGAGCAAACAGGAUUAGAUACCCGUGUAGUCACUGUCUCUUAUAA